GCCCUGGAGCGGCAGUAAAGAGACAAUAAAGAAACACUGGUACACUAGUGCCAGAGAUAGUUGUUGUCCAUGUUUCAGGACCACGGACCUCUUUGAGCUGUCCCUUUGCAUCAGCACCAGGACCCUUCAGACAGGAGAUCCUAUCUGCUAGUGCUUCAGCACAGAGAGUGGCUCAGAAGAUCAGGCUGCCGAUUUGCUUUCAUAUUAGCAAUUUCCUCACUCGGAAGGCCAGCUUAGGUAGCCUUAUCACUCUGUACCUUGUUGGGGGGAUUUUAUAUAAAAAUAAGAACCGGGCUAUGGAGAUGCAGGAAAUUAAUUCAUCACAGAGUCCAGUUUUAUUUCCCAUCAUGUAUGCUGACAGCAGAUGUUUUGUGGAAUAAUUUCCUUGUAAUGCCCUGCCAUCCAUCCCAUUAGCCCAUAUACAUAAUUCAUACACAUUAGCCUAACCUCACUCGGUUUAAUUUAUUCUGGCUCUUUUUCAGUCUGGGGUAAAAUCUUCCAUGACGAUAGGAGCUUUCUCCCAUAGGUGUAUCCUCAGUUUAAGCUGCUGCUAAGCCAGGUAAGGGAGGGGGUCACCUCACUGGAAAUGGAGCAAACCGGAGAGAGAGAAAAAUGAGAUGCUGGCUGAGGUUAAGAUUUCCCAGAUCUUUGAAUGCAAAGAAAAUCAUUCCUCCCAUGUUCUUUUCACUGGCCAUUUUCUAAGAUUUAGCAAGGCGCAUAAUGUCACAAUAAAGCAAUGGCAAUAUAUGAAGAGUCCAAAGGUAACAAGUCUCACAAUUUUCUGCAGAAAACUGCAUGUGCUUUUCACAUCCUUUAUAAAACCGGAGAUGGGGAAAAGGGGGUGGGCCUCCUCAUUGAGGAUGGGGGAGGGAAAUUCGAUUCAGUUUUGCAUGUAAAGGCAAAUCUCUUCAAUUUGCAGCUCCUGAAAUCAUCCGUUGUGAACUGAAACAAAGGGGCCCUCUGAAACUUAAAAGGUAAAGGUACCCCUGACCGUUAAGUCCAGUCGCGGACGAUUCUGAGGUUGUGCGCUCAUCUCGCUCUAUAGGCCGAGGGAGCCGAC